CAUCUCCAAACCAUACAAUAGAGCACCUCCAAACCAUACAAGAGCACCUCCAAACCAUACAACAGAGCACCUCCAAACCAUACAACAGAGCACCUCCAAACCAUACAAGAGCACCUCCAAACCAUACAAGAGCACCUCCAAACCAUACAAGACCACCUCCAAACCAUACAAGACCACCUCCAAACCAUACAACAGAGCACCUCCAAACCAUACAAUAGAGCACCUCCAAACCAUACAAGAGCACCUCCAAACCAUACAAGAGCACCUCCAAACCAUACAACAGAGCACCUCCAAACCAUACAACAGAGCACCUCCAAACCAUACAACAG
rnacentral:lncRNA from 1 species